rnacentral:rRNA from 1 species
CAAUAGCGUAUAUUUAAGUUGCUGCAGUUAAAAAGCUCGUAGUUGGAUUUCGGGUGGGAAUGGCCGGUCCGCCGUUUCGGUGUGCACUUGCUACGCCCACCUUGCUGCCGGGGACGUGCUCUUGAGUUCACGCUCGGGACACGGAGUCGGCGAGGUUACUUUGAGUAAAUUAGAGUGUUCAAAGCAGGCCUACGCUCUGAAUAUAUUAGCAUGGAAUAACACGAUAGGACUCUGGCUUAUCUUGUUGGUCUGUGAGACCAGAGUAAUGAUUAAGAGGGACAGUCGGGGACAUUCGUAUUUCAUUGUCAGAGGUGAAAUUCUUGGAUUUAUGAAAGACGAACUACUGCGAAAGCAUUUGCCAAGGAUGUUUUCAUUAA